ensembl:lncRNA
AUGACUACUUAUAAACAAGACCUGACAGCACAAUUACGGGACAGCCGUAAGACUGUGGAUCAACUUAAUAGACAGAUCAGAAUAUUAAACGCUGAAAACAAAAAGCUACAGAAAGAGCAUUUGAAAACUGUAAAAGAUUUAGAAAUCUGUCGCAAUGACACUUACAAAAAAGUUCAGCAAAAACGUCAGAAUGAGAUGUCGGAUAAACUUAAGGAGAAAAAUCAAAUGAUUCAGGACUUGAAACAACAAGUUGCUGGAUUUGAGCUUAGAAUUAAAAAACAAGAAACUGAUUUCUUGAGAAAAGAAAGACAGCUGGAGAUGGUGUAUGAUGAAAAGUUUGACAAAGCACAGUUGAUUUUCAAAAACCAGCUAAAAGAAAAUAAAUCAGUUGUUAAUGACUACGAGUCCAAACAGGAGGCAGACAGGAUAUUUAUAAAGAAAAUAGCAGCUGAGAAAUUAGACUACGAAAGAGAGUGUAAGGCUCUAAAGGAUCAGAUUGAUGUUUUAAAAACUGACAAGAAAACAGCUGAGCAUCAAACUAAUAAAGUUCAAAGAGAAGUAGACCUGCUCAGAAGCAGCAUAAACAAAGACAUUUUAGAACAAGCCAAGCUAAAAGAGGAAAUCAAAGGGAAAGUUACAAAAAUUGAAGAAAUUGAAGGAGUGUUGAAACAAAAGGAAAAAGAAAUCAUUGGAUUAAAAAAAACCUUACAUGCUACACAAAGAGACAUCCAUGAAAGUAAUAUCAAGGCAAGCAGGCUUAGAAAUGUUCAAAGGGAUUUGAAACAGGCGGAAGAUAAAAAUCGUAUCUUUAGAGCCGAUCUGCAAGCUGAAAAGGCCCAAGUCGACAUCUUGAAGGUGGACAAAGAUAAGUUAAUUGAAAAAUGCGAUAAACUGAAAGAGAGUAAUGAAAAGCUAUCCGCAGAGAAUUUGGCAUUACUACAGACCAACAAAGAGGUCUCUGAAAAGCUGAAGGACAGCGAAAGAACAGCUAAACAUUUAUCUGAAGAAAACGUGAAGAAAGAAGAAAAAAUCGACCGGCUCACAAAUGAACUUAGGAACACUAGGACAGCUUACCAAAACGAGAGGACACUGUGUGACCACGAAGUGAGAAGGAUGAAAGAAUAUACUUAUAGCGAACUUGUUGACACAAAAAAUAUGGCAAGCGAAGCUGGCAUCCAAAGAGUAAUUCUCAUCAACCAAAACAAAAAGUUGAUUCAUCAAGUCAGCUGUCUGGAACAGCGCUUGACUAAAGCAACAGAAGACAUCAAACUCUUGAGCGGAGAAAGGGAGAAACUUCUUCAAGAAAAACAAAAAAUGUCAUUUGACAAAGACCAGUAUUACGUUGAGCUGGAAAAAGUAAAAGGCGACAAUAACUCUCUGAAGCAAGAGAUUUCACAUCUCAAGUUGCAGGAAAACAUCUCAAAGAAGAAAUUUGAAGAAAAUAUUCAGUCAGUUCGUCAAACACUCACUCACACAGAAUCUGUUCUGGCAAAUGUGGAGGACGAAAACCGGAAACUAUGUCAGAGAAUUGAGAUUCAAGAAAAACAGAUUCGAGAACACAAAGAGCAGCUAACCGAGACUAAAAGAAAUUUGGAGUCAUUUCACCGCCUAGUAGAGGAAAAAGCUGAACAAAUCAGAGAACUUGAAAGCCAUAACCAUGUUAUAAAAAGACCUGUAGUGUUUGGUAAUAUGUACAUUGACUGCAUGCGUGGCAAAAUUCCUGUCGAGAAAAAGUGUUUUGAGUGUACCAAACUUAGAAGAGAGCUUAGCCAAAUUAAUCAGGAUUUUACAACUAAGCUAGAAGAAAAGGAGAAAAUGAUUCAUGAACUGAGGUUAAAAAAUCACAAGACUUUUGGUCUGAGAGCAGAAAAUAACGACCUUAAAAAGCAAAAUGUUAAACUGCAAGGAAUCGGCAUUGCUUUAGAGUGGCAACUGCAACAAGUCACUGACACAAAAGACAAAUUAAAAACUGAGGACAAACCAAAGCCAAACCAGCCAAAGAGAUUGUUGAGGCGCCCUUCACUUGAACCUGCUCGUCUAAGAAGGCCAACUGACCAUUUAAUGUAG